rnacentral:rRNA from 1 species
UUACGGGAGGCAGCAAUUAGGAAUCUUGCGCAAUGGGCGAAAGCCUGACGCAGCGACGCCGCGUGACUGAUGAAGUCCUUCGGGAUGUAAAGGUCUUUUGCAGGGGAAGAAGGAAGUGACGGUACCCUGCGAAUAAGCUCCGGCUAACUACGUGCCAGCAGCCGCGGUAAUACGUAGGGAGCGAGCGUUGUCCGAAUUCACUGGGCGUAAAGCGCGCGUAGGCGGGUUUUUAAGUUGUGGGUGAAAUUCCGAGGCUCAACCUCGGAACUGCCUGCAAAACUGGAAGCCUUGAGGUAUGGAGAGGGAAGUGGAAUUCCAGGUGUAGCGGUGAAAUGCGUAGAUAUCUGGAGGAACACCCGUGGCGAAGGCGGCUUCCUGGCCAUAUCCUGACGCUGAGGUGCGAAAGCUAGGGGAGCGAACGGGAUUAGAUACCCCGGUAGU